UAGGGAAUCUUCCGCAAUGGACGAAAGUCUGACGGAGCAACGCCGACGUGACGUAGAAUGAAGGUUUUCGGAUCGUAAAGCUCUGUUGCCAGGGAAGAAUGCUUGGGAGAGUAACUGCUCCCAAGGUGACGGUACCUGAGAAGAAAGCCCCGGCUAACUACGUGCCAGCAGCCGCGGUAAUACGUAGGGGGCAAGCGUUGUCCGGAAUUAUUGGGCGUAAAGCGCGCGCAGGCGGCCUUGUAAGUCUGUUGUUUAAACUUGGGGCUCAACCCCAAGUCGCAAUGGAAACUGCAAAGCUUGAGUGCAGAAGAGGAAAGUGGAAUUCCAACGUGUAGCGGUGAAAUGCGUAGAGAUGUGGAGGAACACCAGUGGCGAAGGCGACUUUCUGGGUCUGUAACUGACGCUGAGGCGCGAAAGCGUGGGGAGCAAACAGGAUUAGAUACCCUGGUAGUCCACGCCGUAAACGACUGAAUGCUAGGUGUUAGGGG
rnacentral:rRNA from 1 species